rnacentral:rRNA from 1 species
AACGAACGCUGGCGGCAGGCUUAACACAUGCAAGUCGAGCGCCCCGCAAGGGGAGCGGCAGACGGGUGAGUAACGCGUGGGAAUCUACCGAGCCCUGCGGAAUAGCUCCGGGAAACUGGAAUUAAUACCGCAUACGCCCUACGGGGGAAAGAUUUAUCGGGGUUUGAUGAGCCCGCGUUGGAUUAGCUAGUUGGUGGGGUAAUGGCCUACCAAGGCGACGAUCCAUAGCUGGUCUGAGAGGAUGAUCAGCCACAUUGGGACUGAGACACGGCCCAAACUCCUACGGGAGGCAGCAGUGGGGAAUAUUGGACAAUGGGGGCAACCCUGAUCCAGCCAUGCCGCGUGAGUGAUGAAGGCCUUAGGGUUGUAAAGCUCUUUCACCGGUGAAGAUAAUGACGGUAACCGGAGAAGAAGCCCCGGCUAACUUCGUGCCAGCCGCCGCGGUAAUAC